UUUCCCCAUUACUGUCGGUCGACAGUCCCUCGUCUCGACCUGCAUAGGCACCCGACGGCUUGUGGCGGUUUCCGCCUCUGUCUUCCUUGCUGAGGGCGCCCACUGCGAAGACACGACGGUGCUCGAGAGGCCGCCGCGCGCGUCGCACACGUGUCCGCGCCAUGCGGGCUGCUCGUACCUUUCCACGGCGGGUCUGCGGCAUUGGCUCCCUACCGAGCACUUCUGCGGCCCUCCGUUGUGGGGCACGGUGCAUUCACCGCCACCACAGCCCUGACAGAAGUUACUCGCAGGAGAUUCAGGACCGCCAAAACGCUUUUCGGUGGUCAGCACAUCAUGUGUUUCGUCCGCACCAGCACUUCACGUACGAUCCUACUAGCUGGAGCCGCACGUUGGAGGAAAAGGUGAAGAAGUCGCGCACCUUAUCGCUGGUGGAGCGGGUAAAGACGACGGCAGAGCACGUGGCGGAGCGCACUGGCCACAUGGCGGCUCUCGUCGACGUCACUGAGGGUUGCAUAUCGAAAGCACAAAAGCCUGCGGAGCCCGCCUCCCAGAUUGACGUCCCAGACUACUUCUUCGCCGCGAGGGACGCCUCGACCCCGCUGCAGGCGGCCACCGUUCCCGCGAACUCAUCCACGCCGUCGGACGGGUGGACUGCGGUGAGUCUGCAGGAACUCGUAGAGGAGGUGCAGCGCCUCCAGAGCCUUCUACAUAGCCCACGCUACGCAGGAAACGCUUCCCUCCAGCGGCGCGACCGUCAGGCCGCUGACUUCCGCGCGACACUGUGGCAGCUCUAUAAGCGCCUGCGCGAUGCCCGAGUGGGCGAGACGGUGACGCUAGAUGCUUGUGUCUUUGGUUGGUUUCUGCUGACACGGAACCUCGAGCCCCUCAUCGAGACUGUGGCGUGUGCGCGCCCGCAAGAGGCAAACAAAGACUCGAGCGAGGGCAGCGACGAGGCAGCAGCAAUACACGAUGUCUUCGCUGCCCUCCGCACGGUGGUGCUGCAGCCCAUGGCAGAGGGUAGACGUCUCUUCAAGGCUGCCACGUCGGGGGAGUUGUCGUUGGAGGCACUCAUUGAAAUCCUGAGCAUCGCGACGCUGCCGUUUGUGCGACGGUGCUCCGAGAACGAUGUCCUUGAGAGCCAGACUCUUGUGCGCUACGCUGAGUGCAUCUCCGCUGCUGCCAGGCAGCGCGCACUCGACGUCGCUGCGGAACCCGACGCGGCCGGGCACGCAGCCGCGCAGGAGUGGCUCGAUCCACCGCACCUGGCUGCGUGGGCAACCUCGCUGAAGCGCCUGCAGGCGCAUGAGGUGCCUAUUCUCGGCACGGUCUCCGGCCUCGAGGUACAGGUGGAGCACGCAGCCGAUUACGUGACGCAGCUGCUCGAGACCAUCACGGGUGUGACGCCCGGUGGCCAUGUGAUUGCGAGCCUCUCUCGCCCCCAGCCCAGAACGCAGAAGGCGGCAUCUCAGGUGCGACAGGAUGCCGCACCGAAGCCGGUUUGCCUGGAUGCAACGGCGGCACCGCACGGCGUGCAGAACCCGCCGACGGAGAGCGGUGAUGCCGUGAACAUUCUUGUGGCGGCUACGGCUAUGCUGCACCUUUCUCAUCGCACUGAAGGCACGAGCAUGACGAGGAAGGAGGGCGCGCGGCGCAUCGUUUGUGCAUGUCUGCGCAUGCUGACCCACGUGCCCAAUUAUGACCUCUGUCCCGACGAUGUGGUUGCGUGGGCGUCCGAGGUCCUUGAUGCAGGGCACCUGAUGCACAUGGACGACCUCUACUGCACCGCGCUUGGAGAUGGCGGGACGGCCGGAGGGAGCCGGUCGGCGGCGCUGCGAUUUCUUCUGCUGCUCUCGCGACUGUCCUACGGCUCUGUUGUGCACCGUGCGGCGCUGGGGCGGAUGGUACUUUGCCUGUGCCGAUGGCCGGAGCCCGCGCACACAAGUUUCAAGGAGUCAAGCGAGUGGCGCCGCCUGCGCGGCGUAGUCAUGCGAGGAGCGCUGUGCGUCCUGCAAGUGCCCGAUCUGGAGGCAGGGGCCGCGCUGCGGGCCAGCGAGGAGACAACGACGUGGCUUGAAGCGCUAGCGUUCGGCGAGUACGGCGGUGCCGUUCCGAUGACACUGUGGCGAGAUGCCGCUCUCUCGCUCUUUCCGCACCUUUGCUACCACGUUGAGGGCAGCACAGCAGCUUCUUCCCCUUCCCCGCCGCGCGUGGGCUCUUGCGCGUCGCGUUGCCGUCCAGAGGAGGCGCAGUCUCUUUGCGUCUUAUGCUCUCGCUACGUGGCACGGGAGGAGACUGGUGCCUCGGCCCCCGCCAACCUUCGCAGUAUCUUCACAGCGCGGUGCAUUGCAGAGUGUCUAGCCGUCGUGCUCAGCAACCCGGCGCUGCCAGAUGCGCUUCUGAACUCGGCGGAUGCGUGGGAUGGCCUGUGUGCCUCGUUACCCGAGCCGGUUAAGGUGGUGGCGGCGUGCAUGCAGGAGGUGGUGCGCCGUGACGCGCCCCCACCCAAGGUGCUUUCUUUCUGAACCCUUUGCUCCUCCGUGUGUUGUCCGUCCGUAAGCCGCCUCUCCUGCAUCACCCCGGAUCCCUACUCGUCUUUGUGAGCUCCUUUGGUGCGGGCUGUUCUCCCUCCCUCUGCCGCACACGCCAGCGUGCACCUGCUGUGAAGAAGGGAGAAGUGUAGAGGGCAGUCAUCACCGAUAACCCCCCCCCCCCCCCACACACACACACACACACACACACAGACACACACAUACGCACCUGCAUUUUAGGCUUCAGUGCGAUAAUCGUGGUAACCAACGCUGCGAGGUGAUUGUUCGCUUAACGUAUGUGACAGGCUCGCCCGUGUGCCUGCCUCGCUCUCGCUGUGUGCGUUCUUACUGAGGGCUCACAGGGGACAGUGGAUCAAUAUGAAGCAUAGGUUGUCGUGCCUGCUGUCGCGAGGCACACACGGCAACGUGCAUAAACAC
rnacentral:misc_RNA from 1 species